rnacentral:misc_RNA from 1 species
AAAGUCGUAACAAGGUCUCCGUAGGUGAACCUGCGGAGGGAUCAUUACACAAAAUAGGAAGCCGGACGGGGGACCAGGGCCUCGCUGCCCUGCCCGUCUGGCGCCAUAUUCACCCAUGUCUUUUUGCGUACUACUUGUUUCCUUGGCGGGUCCGCCCGCCAAUUGGACCUUGAUUAAACCUUUUUUUCAGUUGCAAUUAGCGUCAGCAAAACCAAUGUAAUGAAUUACAACUUUCAACAACGGAUCUCUUGGUUCUG